rnacentral:rRNA from 1 species
ACGAACGCUGGCGGCAUGCCUAACACAUGCAAGUCGAACGAGACCUUCGGGUCUAGUGGCGCACGGGUGCGUCACGCGUGGGAACCUGCCUUUAGGUUCGGAAUAACUCAGAGAAAUUUGAGCUAAUACCGGAUGAUGUCUUCGGACCAAAGAUUUAUCGCCUUUAGAUGGGCCCGCGUUGGAUUAGCUAGUUGGUGGGGUAAAGGCCUACCAAGGCGACGAUCCAUAGCUGGUCUGAGAGGAUGAUCAGCCACACUGGGACUGAGACACGGCCCAGACUCCUACGGGAGGCAGCAGUGGGGAAUAUUGGACAAUGGGCGAAAGCCUGAUCCAGCAAUGCCGCGUGAGUGAUGAAGGCCUUAGGGUUGUAAAGCUCUUUUACCCGAGAUGAUAAUGACAGUAUCGGGAGAAUAAGCGCCGGCUAACUCCGUG